GAUGAACGCUGGCGGUGUGCCUAAUACAUGCCAGUCGAGCGAACAGACGAGGAGCUUACUCCUCUGACGUUAGCGGCGGACGGGUGAGUAACACGUGGAUAACCUACCUAUAAGACUGGGAUAACUUCGGGAAACCGGAGCUAAUACCGGAUAACAUGUUGAACCGCAUGGUUCAACAGUGAAAGACGGUCUUGCUGUCACUUAUAGAUGGAUCCGCGUCGCAUUAGCUAGUUGGUAAGGUAACGGCUUACCAAGGCAACGAUGCGUAGCCGACCUGAGAGGGUGAUCGGCCACACUGGAACUGAGACACGGUCCAGACUCCUACGGGAGGCAGCAGUAGGGAAUCUUCCGCAAUGGGCGAAAGCCUGACGGAGCAACGCCGCGUGAGUGAAGAAGGUCUUCGGAUCGUAAAACUCUGUUAUUAGGGAAGAACAAAUGUGUAAGUAACUAUGCACGUCUUGACGGUACCUAAUCAGAAAGCCACGGCUAACUACGUGC
rnacentral:rRNA from 1 species